rnacentral:rRNA from 1 species
GAUGAACGCUGACAGAAUGCUUAACACAUGCAAGUCAACUUGAAUUUGGGUUUUUAACUUAGAUUUGGGUGGCGGACGGGUGAGUAACGCGUAAAGAACUUGCCUCACAGCUAGGGACAACAUUUAGAAAUGAAUGCUAAUACCUGAUAUUAUGAUUUUAAGGCAUCUUAGAAUUAUGAAAGCUAUAAGCACUGUGAGAGAGCUUUGCGUCCCAUUAGCUAGUUGGAGAGGUAACAGCUCACCAAGGCGAUGAUGGGUAGCCGGCCUGAGAGGGUGAACGGCCACAAGGGGACUGAGACACGGCCCUUACUCCUACGGGAGGCAGCAGUGGGGAAUAUUGGACAAUGGACCGAGAGUCUGAUCCAGCAAUUCUGUGUGCACGAUGAAGUUUUUCGGAAUGUAAAGUGCUUUCAGUUGGGAAGAAAGAAAUGACGGUACCAACAGAAGAAGUGACGGCUAAAUACGUGCCAGCAGCCGCGGUAAUACGUAUGUCACAAGCGUUAUCCGGAUUUAUUGGGCGUAAAGCGCGUCUAGGUGGUUAUGUAAGUCUGAUGUGAAAAUGCAGGGCUCAACUCUGUAUUGCGUUGGAAACUGUAUAACUAGAGUACUGGAGAGGUAAGCGGAACUACAAGUGUAGAGGUGAAAUUCGUAGAUAUUUGUAGGAAUGCCGAUGGGGAAGCCAGCUUACUGGACAGAUACUGACGCUAAAGCGCGAAAGCGUGGGUAGCAAACAGG